GACGAACGCUGGCGGCGUGCUUAACACAUGCAAGUCGAACGAUGAAGAAGAGAAACGCGAACUUCGGUUCAAAUUUCACUUCGGAUUAGUGGCAGACGGGUGAGUAACGCGUGAGCAACCUACCUCUUACAAAGGGAUAGCCUCGGGAAACCGUGAUUAAUACCAUAUGACACAUUCAUAAGGCAUCUUAAGAAUGUUAAAGCUACGGCGGUAAGAGAUGGGCUCGCGUCCCAUUAGCUAGUUGGUGAGGUAACGGCCCACCAAGGCGACGAUGGGUAACCGGCCUGAGAGGGUGAACGGUCACAUUGGAACUGAGACACGGUCCAAACUCCUACGGGAGGCAGCAGUGGGGAAUAUUGCACAAUGGAGGGAACUCUGAUGCAGCGACGCCGCGUGAGCGAUGAAGGAAUUCGUUUCGUAAAGCUCUGUUCUAUGGGAAGAAAGGGACUGUACCAUAGGAGAAAGCCCCGGCUAAAUCCGUG
rnacentral:rRNA from 1 species